rnacentral:rRNA from 1 species
AAGUCGAGCGGAAUACAAACUGUAGCAAUACAGGUUGUGUUCAGCGGCAGACGGGUGAGUAACACGUAGACAAUCUACCUUAUAUAGGGGGAUA